rnacentral:ncRNA from 1 species
GCACCGGCGACGGAUCAUUCAAGUGUCUGCCCUAUCAACUUUCGUCGGUACGGUAUUUGCCUACCGAGGUUCUUACGGGUGACGGGGAAUCAGGGUUCGAUUCCGGAGAGGGAGCCUGAGAAACGGCUACCACAUCCAAGGAAGGCAGCAGGCGCGCAAAUUACCCAUUCCCGACGCGGGGAGGUAGUGACGAAAAAUAACAAUGCAGGACUCGUUCGAGGCCCUGUAAUUGGAAUGAGUACACUUUAAAAGCUUUAACGAGUAUCCAUUGGAGGGCAAGUCUGGUGCCAGCAGCCGCGGUAAUUCCAGCUCCAAAAGUAUAUAUUUAAGUUGUUGCGGUUAAAAAGCUCGUAGUUGGAUUUUGGGCGCAGGCGGCCGGUCCGUCGCAAGGCGUGUACUGGACGUCCUGGCCUUCCCUCCGGUUCUCCGCCGGUGCUCUUGACUGAGUGUCGGCGGCGGCCGGAACGUUUACUUUGAAAAAAUUAGAGUGUUCAAAGCAGGCUCUCGAGCCUGGAUAAUGGUGCAUGGAAUAAUGGAAUAGGACCUCGGUUCUAUUUUGUUGGUUUUCGGAGCGCGAGGUAAUGAUUAAGAGGGACAGACGGGGGCAUUCGUACUGUGCCGUUAGAGGUGAAAUUCUUGGAUCGGCGCAAGACGAACGACUGCGAAAGCAUUUUGCCAGAAUGUUUUCUUUAAUCAAGAGCGAAAGUCAGCAUUUCUGAAGACGAUCAGAUACCGUCCUAGAUC